rnacentral:lncRNA from 1 species
ACGAUUUCAUGGCUGGCCGUGUUAUUGUCUUAAAUUAGUUGUGAUAAGCUGUUGCUUGGAGAUUCUGUUGCCAAGACUUUGCUCACAUCAGAAGCUGUGGAAUCUGAACCCUUCGUUAUGUAUCAUCUUUUUCAUGCAGGAAAAAGUUUCUUCGGCCACCAUAUUUGAAAAUGAAGCCAUUUCCAGGAAGCAGUUGGCAGCAAAUUCUUUGCCUUUCGUGCACUUUGGUAUGCUAUCAAGUGACAGCUUCUUUGUCUUAAAUUAGUUGUGAUAAGCUGUUGCUUGGAGAUUCUGUUGCCAAGACUUUGCUCACAUCAGAAGCUGUGGAAUCUGAACCCUUCGUUAUGUAUCAUCUUUUUCAUUGUUUUAAAACUCUCAGGAUUAAACUUGAGCGAAUUUGUUCGGUUGUCUAUAUAAUCAUGUAUUGAGUAACCUCUCAGGAUACUGAGCAGGCAAAUGUUAUAACUCGGUUUGUUAGCCAAAAACUUGUUGAAGAUUCUUGACAAAGCUGCAUCAAGUGAAUUGUCGGAGCUCUGAGGGUG